UACGUAGGGUGCAAGCGUUAUCCGGAAUUAUUGGGCGUAAAGAGCUCGUAGGCGGUUUGUCGCGUCUGCUGUGAAACCCGGAGGCUCAACCUCCGGCCUGCAGUGGGUACGGGCAAACUAGAGUGCGGUAGGGGAGAUUGGAAUUCCUGGUGUAGCGGUGGAAUGCGCAGAUAUCAGGAGGAACACCGAUGGCGAAGGCAGAUCUCUGGGCCGUAACUGACGCUGAGGAGCGAAAGCGUGGGGAGCGAACAGG
rnacentral:rRNA from 1 species